rnacentral:rRNA from 1 species
UACGGAGGGUGCAAGCGUUAUCCGGAUUUAUUGGGUUUAAAGGGUCCGUAGGCGGAUCUGUAAGUCAGUGGUGAAAUCUCACAGCUUAACUGUGAAACUGCCAUUGAUACUGCAGGUCUUGAGUAAGGUAGAAGUGGCUGGAAUAAGUAGUGUAGCGGUGAAAUGCAUAGAUAUUACUUAGAACACCAAUUGCGAAGGCAGGUCACUAUGUCUUAACUGACGCUGAUGGACGAAAGCGUGGGGAGCGAACAGG